CAUAGGAUGGACCCGCGUCAGAUUAGCUAGUUGGUGAGAUAAAAGCUCACCAAGGCGACGAUCUGUAGCCGACCUGAGAGGGUGAUCGGCCACAUUGGGACUGAGACACGGCCCAAACUCCUACGGGAGGCAGCAGUGGGGGAUAUUGCACAAUGGGGGAAACCCUGAUGCAGCAAUGCCGCGUGAAGGAAGAAGGUCUUCGGAUCGUAAACUUCUAUCAGCAGGGAAGAAAAUGACUGUACCUGACUAAGAAGCCCCGGCUAACUACGUGCCAGCAGCCGCGGUAAUACGUAGGGGGCAAGCGUUAUCCGGAAUUACUGGGUGUAAAGGGUACGUAGGCGGCAUGGCAAGUCAGAUGUGAAAGCCCGGGGCUCAACUCCGGGACUGCAUUUGAAACUGUCAAGCUAGAGUACAGGAGAGGAAAGCGGAAUUCCUAGUGUAGCGGUGAAAUGCGUAGAUAUUAGGAAGAACACCAGUGGCGAAGGCGGCUUUCUGGACUGUAACUGACGCUGAGGUACGAAAGCGUGGGGAGCGAACAGGAUUAGAUACCCUGGUAGUCCACGCUGUAAACGAUGAAUGCUAGGUGUCGGGCGUCAAAACUCGGUGCCGAAGUUAACGCAUUAAGCAUUCCACCUGGGGAGUACGAUCGCAAGAUUGAAACUCAAAGGAAUUGACGGGGGCCCGCACAAGCGGUGGAGCAUGUGGUUUAAUUCGAAGCAACGCGAAGAACCUUACCAAAUCUUGACAUCCUUCUGACCGUUCCUUAAUCGGAACUUUCCUUCGGGACAGAAGUGACAGGUGGUGCAUGGUUGUCGUCAGCUCGUGUCGUGAGAUGUUGGGUUAAGUCCCGUAACGAGCGCAACCCUUAUUUUUAGUAGCCAGCGGGUCAAGCCGGGGACUCUAGAGAGACUGCCGGGGAUAACUCGGAGGAAGGCGGGGAUGACGUCAAAUCAUCAUGCCCCUUAUGAUUUGGGCUACACACGUGCUACAAUGGCGGAUACAAAGGGAAGCGAAAGGGUGACCUGAAGCAAACCUCAUAAAGUCCGUCCCAGUUCGGAUUGUAGUCUGCAACUCGACUACAUGAAGUUGGAAUCGCUAGUAAUCGCGAAUCAGAAUGUCG
rnacentral:rRNA from 1 species